CAGCAGCCGCGGGAAUACGUAGGGCGCAAGCGUUAUCCGGAAUUAUUGGGCGUAAAGAGCUCGUAGGCGGUUUGUCGCGUCUGCCGUGAAAGUCCGGGGCUCAACCCCGGAUCUGCGGUGGGUACGGGCAGACUAGAGUGAUGUAGGGGAGACUGGAAUUCCUGGUGUAGCGGUGAAAUGCGCAGAUAUCAGGAGGAACACCGAUGGCGAAGGCAGGUCUCUGGGCAUUAACUGACGCUGAGGAGCGAAAGCAUGGGGAGCGAACAGGAUUAGAUACCCGCGUAGUCCCUGUCUCUUAUAC
rnacentral:rRNA from 1 species